rnacentral:rRNA from 1 species
CCAAUAGCGUAUAUUAAAGUUGCUGCAGUUAAAAAGCUCGUAGUUGAAUUUCGGGACCAAUAUGUCGGUCGUGCCUCGGUACGUACUGGCAUCGUUGGUUUCUCCCUUCUGACGAACCAUGAUGUCAUUUAUUUGGUGUCGUGGGGAAUCAGGACUGUCACUUUGAAAAAAUUAGAGUGUUUAAAGCAGGCUCACGCUUGAAUACAUUAGCAUGGAAUAAUGAAAUAGGACGUUUGAUUCUAUUUUGUUGGUUUCUAGGAUUGACGUAAUGAUUAAUAGGGAUAGUUGGGGGCAUUAGUAUUCAAUUGUCAGAGGUGAAAUUCUUGGAUUUAUUGAAGACUAACUACUGCGAAAGCAUUUGCCAAGGAUGUUUUCAUUAAUCAAGAACGAAAGUUAGGGGAUCGAAGACGAUCAGAUACCGUCGUAGUCUUAACCAUAAACUAUGCCGACUAGGGAUCGGAUGAUGUUAAUUUUUUAAUGACUCAUUCGGCGCCUUACG